UCUGCCUCACUUCUUCUGCUAUUGAUUCCUUCUAGUGUAUUUUUCCUUUCGGUUAUUGUAUUGUUCAUCUCUGUUUGUUUGUUCUUUAGUUCUCCUAGGUCUUUGUUAAACAUUUCUUGCAUCUUCUUGAUCCUUGCCUCCAUUCUUUUUCUGAGAUCUUGGAUCAUGUUCACUAUCAUUAUUCUGAACUCUUUCUGGUAGGUUGGCUAGCUCCGCUUAAACGUAGUCGUUAUUCUGGGGUUUCAUCGUGUUCCUUCAUCUGGGACAAAUUCCUCUGCCUUCUCAUUUUGACUGACUUUCUGUGAUUGUGGUUUUUGUUCUGCAGGCUGCAGGAUUGUCAUUCUUGCUUCUGCUGUCUGCCCUCUGAUGGAUGAGGCUGUCUAAGAGUGAGGCACAGCUGCUCCCCAUCUCUGCAGGAGACCCUCCCAUACUAGCAGCUAGACAAACAGACUUGAGACACCAACAAAAACUUUGUACCUCUAAGUGGACUCCCCUGAAGAUACUGAGACAGUCUA